GCCCGGGGUGUCUAAAUAGUGCUUCCGGGCCAGCGGGCCAUUUAAUGUCGAGCCCUUCCGGUUACCGGCCGGCCCACAUCGUCCGACCGGCCCACUUCAGUACCGGCCCAUCGGGAUUCGUCCCGAACGUCCCGAUGGCCAGUCCGCCCCUGCAUGGGUGUAAUAUAACUGUAAUAAUGGUGCAAUAUUGGUUUGAUACGCUUGUUAUAUGGGUGUACUAAUGGUGUUAUAUGCAUGUGAUUUGAUUGUAAUAUGGAUGCACUAACCGUGUUAUAUGUGUGUAAUUUAGUUGUUGGUAUAUUUGUGUAAUAACAGCGUAAUAUGCGUGUAAAAUAGAUCUGAUAAUAUGGGUUUAAUAAUCUAUAAAUGUAUACCGGCGACUGCGUAUGUAAAGCGCUUUGAGUGAGAUACGGGAGAUACAGAGGGUAUUUUUGAACAUAAAAGUCAUACUUUGAAGAAAGAUCUUGACAUUUCGAGGCCAUCUUUAGCCUAAAUACAUUAGAAAAUAGCCAUUAAGGAUGAAUGUUGUGUUAGAGGAAGUGUUGUUACAGUUGCAGACUUUGCAUUGGUAAUUGUUUGGGCUUUUAUUAUACCCAGGACAGUUGGUAGUUUUUGCAUGUAAGCAGGAUCGACACUUCUGAUGCCCUUGUUUCUCUUUUUUCCCGUUGUCUUCUAGAGACUCUGCAUAUUUGAUAACUUUGGGACCUUGGUGUUUGCAGUUUUCAUGUCAAUCUGGGUGACGCUGUUCCUGGAGUUUUGGAAGCGCUACCAGGCGGAGCUGGAGUACAUGUGGGACACGGUGGAGUUUCUGGAGCAGGACGAGCCGCCUCGGCCAGAAUAUGAAGCCAAGUGUACUCAUGAGAGGAAAAACACCGUCACAGGGGUAAA